AAAGUUAAACCACGCCCCCUGCUUAAAAGUCUAGUCUAUGAAUACCUUACUUUUGUUUAAACCAAAUAUAACUCAAGAAAAUACACGACCAACAUUUUACACUAUUGCGGAAAUGUAAGAAUGGACACCAAAACACCACCUGACAUCACUCUGAUCACUCUGAUCAGGUAGAUUAUUGACAGAACAAAUAGUGGAGAGACCAUGGCUGGUAGGAGGAUGGGUGCUGUGGGAGAUGACACAACUGUGACAAGGUCUACAGAACUGAGUUGUAUUAUUCGGGUAGAUAUUUCUAGAUAAGAGGAAGAGUCUGUAGUGGCAGAGUGACGCCACAUCCUCUCAUAUCAAGUUGUGGCGAAGCAGCAGUAAA